CCUACGGGAGGCAGCAGUGAGGAAUAUUGGUCAAUGGGCGGAAGCCUGAACCAGCCAAGUCGCGUGAUGGAUUAAGGCCCUAUGGGUCGUAAACCCCUUUUGUCAGGGAGCAAUGGCGUCCACGUGUGGGCGUAUGGAGAGUACCUGAAGUAAAAGCAUCGGCUAACUGCGCGCCAGCAGCCGCGGUAAUACGGAGGAUGCGAGCGUUAUCCGGAUUUAUUGGGUUUAAAGGGUGCGUAGGGGGGAGCUUAAGUCAGCGGAAAAGUUGCGGUGCAAAACGCUGUAGAGCCGUUGAUACUGGGGUUCUUGAAUGAGGAGGAAGUAUGAGGAAUGCGGGGUGUAGCGGUGAAAUGCAUAGAUAUCACACAGAACACCGAUUGCGAAGGCAGCAUACCGGCGCUCGACUGACGCUGAGGCACGAAAGUGCGGGUAUCGAACAGGAUUAGAUACCCGUGUAGUC
rnacentral:rRNA from 1 species